rnacentral:rRNA from 1 species
AGUGAACGCUGGCGGCAGGCCUAAUACAUGCAAGUCGAACGGCAGCACAGUGGAGCUUGCUCCAUGGGUGGCGAGUGGCGGACGGGUGAGGAAUACAUGGGAAUCUGCCCAGUCGUGGGGGAUAGCGUGGGGAAACUUACGAUAAUACCGCAGGCGCCCUUCGGGGGAAAGCCGGGGACCUUCGGGCCUGGCGCGAUUGUGUGAGCCCAUGUUCGAUUACCUAUCUGGCGGGGUAAAGGCCCACCAAGGCGACGAUCGAUAGUUGGUCGGAUAGGAGGGUCACCCACACUGGGACUGUGACCCGGCCGCGACUCCUACUGUACGUACCAGUAGGGAAUGUUAGUCCUUGGUCGCAAGCUUGCUCCAUCCUUUCCGCGUAUGUGAAGAAGACCCUCGUUUUGUAACGCUCUUUUGUCCGUGAAGAAACGCAUCGUGCUAAUACCUCGGUGUUCUGACGGUACCGGAUGAAUAAGCCCCGGCUAACUUCGUG